ACCUCAGUAACGGCGAGUGAAGCGGUAACAGCUCAAAUUUGAAAUCUGGCUCUUUUAGGGUCCGAGUUGUAAUUUGUAGAAGAUGCUUUGGGUGUGGCCCCGGUCUAAGUUCCUUGGAACAGGACGUCAUAGAGGGUGAGAAUCCCGUAUGUGACUGGGUGCUUUCGCCCGUGUAAAGCUCUUUCGACGAGUCGAGUUGUUUGGGAAUGCAGCUCAAAAUGGGUGGUAAAUUUCAUCUAAAGCUAAAUAUUGGCCAGAGACCGAUAGCGCACAAGUAGAGUGAUCGAAAGAUGAAAAGCACUUUGGAAAGAGAGUUAAACAGUACGUGAAAUUGUUGAAAGGGAAGCGCUUGCAACCAGACUCGCAUGCCGUCGAUCAUCCUGGGUUCUCCCUGGUGCACUCGGCGGUAUUCGGGCCAGCAUCGGUUUGGGUGGUGGGAUAAAGGCCUUGGGAAUGUAGCUUCUUUCGGGGAGUGUUAUAGCCCUCGGUGCAAUGCCGCCUACCUGGACCGAGGACCGCGCUUCGGCUAGGAUGCU
rnacentral:rRNA from 1 species